GUGCUCGCUUCGACAGCACAUAAAUUGGAACGAUACAGAGAAGAUUAGCAUGGUCCUUGCGCAAGGAUGACAUGCAAAUUCGUGAAGUGUUCCAUAUUUUU
rnacentral:snRNA from 1 species